UUGGAUUAUUGUUUUUCUAAAUUUGUGUGAAAAAGAAGGUUACAUAAUGGACUCACAUAAACCAUACAACAUCAAAGGUCGAAUUUCAAAAACAAAUUUUAAAUUAUUAUGGAAAAGAAUAUAAUUAAAUUUUAACUUCAGAGGCGGAUUCCUAUUAAUAAAAUUUAUUCAGUGUCCAUUUGUCAAUAUUUCGAAACAAACAGGUUCAUAUAACUGUAAGGUUUACUUAAUAUACUACACAUUAACAAUUAUGAACAAAUCAAAUUUUAAUAAAAAAUAUAAUCCGGAUUAUUUCAGAGAUACCUCUAAAUAGAUACCUCUUAGAGAAUUCUGAAAACAUGACAUAGGUAUAUUUGUAUUGUGAAAAACAUUCUAGAAAACACAGGCCUCAGAUAGAUGAUGAUUAUGUUCAGUGGAUGGCAUGUUCGUUGUGUAGUCGGUGGAUGUCCCUGAACUGUAUUCCUAAACAAAAGAGAAUAAAUGAUUAUAGCAACAAUGACUACUUC